rnacentral:rRNA from 1 species
CAGCACCUCAAGUGGUCAGGAUGAUUAUUGGGCCUAAAGCAUCCGUAGCCGGCGCUGUAAGUUUUCGGUUAAAUCUGUACGCUCAACGUACAGGCUGCCGGGAAUACUGCAGCGCUAGGGAGUGGGAGAGGUAGACGGUACUCGGUAGGAAGGGGUAAAAUCCUUUGAUCUAUUGAUGACCACCUUUGGCGAAGGCGGUCUACCAGAACACGUCCGACGGUGAGGGAUGAAAGCUGGGGGAGCAAACCGGAUUAGAUACCCGAGUAGUCC